AGCAAGAAGGAUGAGGUUGACCUCCCUUUCCUCUUGCUGUUUAUGCGGGUGCUCUGUUCUGACAUAAACAGAGUGUCCAGGAGCUUGGAUGGACACACGGGUGACUAAGAGAGAUGGCAGCAACAUGGGGACAAUUUAUGAUUAGCACAGGAGAGAGGUAUUUACAACUCAUGAAUUCUUCUCAGAUUAUUCCAUCAAUGUCCCCAAUCAUAUGGAGGAUUCCAAGCACAUUCAACCAGAUGUACGGAGAUUAUCUCUUCACAGAAAACAUAUGAAGGUGAGGGCAGAACACCAGCAGCAAUGACGACAUUUGGCCACAGCCAGAACAUGCAUCCUUGCUCUUCCUCAGUGAUUCCUCAAGUACACAUAUGAAGAAUGUUUGGCAAGUGUACACUUUUGACCAUUUUCCAUGUCUCUUACAGCAUGCAAACUGAUCCAGAAAAAUGCUACCCUGUCUCUUUUAUCAUAUCAAAUGGAAAGUUUGGGGAAACUGAUUUUCAGGGAAUACAGUUUCCAGAAUUACCAACCAACAGGGUCAGAAAUUCUGGGAACUAAAUUGUCAAGAAAAAAACUUUCUCAAUCACUAAUUUCAUGAAAACUCUGCAGCAAAAACAGCAAUAAUAGCAACCCUGCUUCACUUUGCUGGUCCAUAAAAUAACCCAUACAUGAA